rnacentral:rRNA from 1 species
UAUCUCCUACGGGGGGCAGCAGUGGGGGAUAUUGCACAAUGGGGGGAACCCUGAUGCAGCGACGCCGCGUGGGUGAAGGAGCGUUUCGGCGCGUAAAGCCCUAUCGGCAGGGAAGAAAAUGACGGUACCUGACUAAGAAGCCCCGGCUAACUACGUGCCAGCAGCCGCGGUAAUACGUAGGGGGCAAGCGUUAUCCGGAUUUACUGGGUGUAAAGGGAGCGGAGACGGCUAAUCAAGUCAGAAGUGAAAACCCAGGGCUCAACCUUGGGACUGCUUUUGAAACUGAGUAGCUAGAGUGCCGGAGG